GCCCUGGUGGAUCAAGGCAGAUCAUCCCUUCUUUAUGGGCGUUGACUGCGUAGUAUGCAGAGGGAAGAUGGAGGUUCGAAUCCUCCCUGGGGCA